CACCACCAGGCCAUAGAUGGCGAUGAUGCC
rnacentral:piRNA from 1 species